GUCUAUAAAUAAUUGAAAUGGGCAUGCAAUGGCUUUACCAACUUUAAUUUAAUUUCAUUAUCUUGAUUCUUCAGCACUUUUCUAAAAAUCAAGAUCAGAUGGGUAUGAGGAAGGGAUUAUUAUUAUUCAACAAGAAGCAUAAAAUUGAGGCGAUUGUUGUGAUACUAGCUAUUGUUAUGUGUAUCAUGAUGUGCCAAGGGACUACAGAAGCUACAAGCAGAUUAAGAAGCAUGAAAAAGGAGGGUUUUAAUGUGAAAGCAUCAUUAUUAUCAUCAAGGUUACAUAAGACUAUGGAGAUGGAAGAUUAUGGUACUCCAAGUAGCUAUGAAUCUCCACCAGCUGAUGAUUAUGAUUAUGAUUUCUACAGAAAACAUGGAGAUAUCCCAAGCCCUGGUGCUGGUCAUUGAUCAUCAUCAUCAACCAUACAUGUAUGUGUAUAUAUAUGGUGAGGUUGUGAUUAUUCCCGGGACCAGCUUACUUUGUACUUAUUACUGGUCAUAUAUAUAUUAUGUCAGAGAUGAUCCCGGCAAAGGAUUUUGAUAUAAAUAUAUAUGUGGGAGUUGUUACAUGUAUAUGUUCUUUACUGUUAAUUAUAUUAUAUUUACAGUUAAUUAAUUUCAUAAAUAUUUGUUAUAUAUUAUAUAGUGAGGAGACGUUGUUGUGUAUUUAUCAGUGAAUGUGUAUUUUGUUUCUGUUAAAAGUAAAUAAUAAAGUUUCUUUUUAAUUA